AACGCUGGAGAAGUUUUAGUUAAGUUAAGCAUUAUUACAUACGAAGAAGAGUGAUUAUUGUUCAAGGAUCGUACGUUAUAAAAACUCGGUUUUUAUCAUGAAUAUCAUAAUAGUGAAAGAAAAAGAGGAGAUGCUUUCUGAGCGUUUAGCUGCGUGUCUUUACAGUUUAAGCAAGAAUCUAAGUUGUAUCGACAGAGCGAUUAAGGUUCGUCUGUCAACGCUUAAUAACAAAAUUGUUAAGCUUGAAAACACGCUCAAAGCGGCUGAGAUGGAUUUAAAUUCCUUCGAAUAAAAUUUUACAGAUCUUUGCGAUAAGUGAAAAGAACCAAUACAAGAUUCUAUAGAU